rnacentral:rRNA from 1 species
GACGUAGGGGGCCAGCGUUGUUCGGAAUUACGGGGGGUAAAGGGUUCGUAGGCGGUGCGGCAAGUCGGGGGUGAAAUCUCUGGGCUUAACCCAGAGGCUGCUUCCGAAACUGCUGUGCUUGAGUGUGGGAGAGGCGCGUGGAAUUGCAGGUGUAGCGGUGAAAUGCGUAGAUAUCUGCAGGAACACCCGUGGCGAAAGCGGCGCGCUGGACCACUACUGACGCUGAGGAACGAAAGCUAGGGGAGCAAACAGG